GACUUCAGCCCUGUCCCCAGCCUGUACACUGUGGCUCUGCUCCCGAACACUACUCUUAGGAUGUUUGUUUCCUAACUUGAUCACCCUCUUGUUUGAUCCACAGGAUGUAAGAUGCCAGAAGCACUACAAUAACCAGAGAUCAUCUGUGCCGAGUGCCAGGCACCAUGUUUGAGUGCAGACUGGAGGCCAGGGAUGCUGAAGAUUUUCCACCUCUACGCACUCGGGUGACCAUCGUGACAACCCCAGGGAGUGACGGCAGGUGCCAGGGCCUGGCACGGGGGCGAGGAGCACUGUGUUCCUGGUAUCAUUCACUGGGGUGGAAGGAACCUCCAUGCGUCUUGCCGUGUCUGCGUGGCACCUAUGCUGUUGACUUAACAUUUCUCUCUAAUGCACUCACAAAAAUAAAGCCCUUCACUGCAUUUAUUUUCCAAAGGACCCUCAGAGGGCCACUUUCAACCAGCAAGCCCGCGUUCCUUCUGUGCAGAGGAUGAACAAUUUCUGCAAAAGCAACGAGAAAGAUGCCGUGGGAACACUGGGUGAACUUGGGGCUCAGGAUGGGGCCGUGAGGCUGAAGCUCACCCUACAGGCAGUGAAGUCAGAGAGGAAUGUUAAGGGCGCGUUGGAUCCUCACAUACAAAUGAGGUACGUGCACUGAGAGAGCUGGAACUUCAGAAAGCCUUCCUCUGUGGAUCUCACCUCGCGGCUCCAAUAUCUAUACUCUCAGUUUCCCCAAGUCCGUUCUAGCAAUUGGGAAUUUCAGGUGCAAUUCAGGUGUAAUCCAUUUCCAAAGGAUUACAAUCAGAUCACAUGUGUGGAAGUGACAGCCGGAUGCCUGGCACCAAGAAGGGAAACCCUGGCAUUGCCCCUCGAUCCUGAUCAGGUUGAGACAACCCUUUGCAGACCCUCUUCCCACCCAGAGAACCUGACAGCUACUGGAUCAAGCCCUCUCCCUUACAGUCCUCCAGGGUCAAGACACCUCUCCACACUUCAGUUUGCUCAUUUUUCUAAAAUGGAGCAGUAGCAGUCACCUGUCCCGGUUUCUAUAGAACCAGCACUUGCCGUGGGAGAAGCUUUACCCUCAUGCGAAGGCCCAUCUCUACUCUCUGCAACUUCCUGGCAGUGGACAGAUUCAGUGUGCCCCUGGAUCAGCCAGUAUACCUCCCAGAAAGUAUAAGCCCAUACAGAAGGGCCUGGGUUCCUGACAGAGGAAGUGACUGCCAUCGAGGGGGAUACUGCAGUUUCCAGCCAAGGCAGCUUCUGUUUUUAGCUGGAGCCACUCCUCAGCCCCCUCCCCUGGGAAGAAGGAACAUGCUGCAGAAAUAGCCCAUCCCAGGGGCUGCCCAAGACAAGGGCUUAUUUUGACUUAGGAUGCUGUUGAAGCUGUGUCAGCCUUGUCAAAAUACAUCUGCCUCUUCUUAUGCUGCCCACACAUCCCGAGAUGCAGCCAGGACCACAGUGUGGCUGCCAGAGACUCACAUCUGGAACUUGACUCUAGGGAGCUGAGGACAACCGGCUUUGGUUUCAGAGGCAAUCACCUUCAGACUUUCGGGGGCAUGGAGAGGCCUAUCUCCAUAUCGAGGGGGUAUUCACUUCUGUGACUCCAUGGCUGCUGUACUGGCUGGUUUUGUGUGUCAACUCGACACAAGCUGGAGUUAGCACAGAGAAAGGCGCCUCCCUUGAGGAAAUGCCUCCAUGAGACCCAGCUUUAAGGCAUUUUCUCAACUAGUGGUCAAGGGGGAGGGCCCAGCGCAUUGUGGGUGGGGCCAUCCCUGGGCUGGUGGUCCUGGGUUCUAUAAGAGAGCAAGCUGAGCAAGCCAGGGGAAGCAAACCAGUAAGUAACAUCCCUCCAUGGCCUCUGCAUCAGCUCCUGCCUCCAAGUUCCUGCCCUGUGUGAGUUCCUGUCCUUCCUUUGGUGAUGUGGAAGUGUAAGCUGAAUAAACCCUUUCCUCCC